CCUACGGGGGGCUGCAGUGAGGAAUUUUCGUCAAUGGGGGAAACCCUGAACGAGCAACGCCGCGUGCAGGAAGAAGGUUUUCGGAUCGUAAACUGCUUUUCUCUGGGACGAGCAAGGACGGUACUAGAGGAAUCAGCCCCGGCUAACUACGUGCCAGCAGCCGCGGUAAUACGUAGGGGGCAAGCGUUGUCCGGAUUUAUUGGGCGUAAAGGGUCCGCAGGCGGUUUGGUAAGUUUGACGUGACAGUUCCUGGCUCAACUGGGAAAGUGCGUUGGAAACUGCCAGACUUGAGGGCUUCAGAGGGAUGCGGAAUUCCGGGUGGAGUGGUGAAAUGCGUAGAUAUCCGGAGGAACACCAAAGGCGAAGGCAGCAUCCUGGGAAGUCUCUGACGCUCAGGGACGAAAGCUAGGGGAGCGAACGGGAUUAGAUACCCCAGUAGUC
rnacentral:rRNA from 1 species